rnacentral:rRNA from 1 species
GACGGACCAUCCAAACGUUAUUCGGAAUUACUGGGCGUAAAGGGCUCGUAGGCGGCCAACUAAGUCAGAUGUGAAAUCCCCAGGCUCAACCUGGGAACUGCAUCUGAUACUGGAUGGCUUGAACCCGGGAGAGGGAUGCAGAAUUCCAGGUGUAGCGGUGAAAUGCGUAGAUAUCUGGAGGAAUACCGGUGGCGAAGGCGGCAUCCUGGACCGGCAUUGACGCUGAGGAGCGAAAGCUAGGGGAGCAAACGGG